UCGAUUUGCUUCUUUUUCUCUCUCUUCCCCUCUUCACUCACUCUCAAUAUGCUUCUUCGAAUGCAUGUCCACGAGAGAAUUGCCGCAUCCUGCCGCCGCUGCUGAAGAACCAAAUUUUCAAGCCUUCUCUCACGAACAGUUCGUUGAUGUCGUUAGAUCUGAAGGAUCAAAAGGGUCUUGUAGCGACUUUGAAUCUCAAGAACAAUCAUCAAUGGCUACUCUUGGUGGAUUACACGAAUCUCAAGGUGCUUCAAAUUAUGCUGAAAUUGAAAGCCUUGCUCAUUUUGCCGUCGAAGAACACAACAAAAAACAGGUUUCUUUUAACUUUUUCCUUAUUUUUGUGAUUUUUGCGGUGAAAAUCUGGAUUUUGCUGAUUACUUGGAAGGAUGGAUAGAAUGGCGACGGAUCUUACUCGCAACAGUUCUGUGGAGUGGGAUAUUGAGCAGGUUAUUGCUGAUAACCUUUCUGAGGAGGAGAUUGCUGGCCUAAAACAAAUGUUUUAAAAUGAUUGACGCUGAUAAUAGUGGACAUAUCACCCUUGAGGAGCUAAAAAAGGGGUUAGAAAAAGUUGGUGCCAAUCUCAAGGAUUCUGAAAUUGUUGGGUUGAUGCAAGCAGUAUAAGGAAAUCUCCAAUCAGUUGAUACCUGCUUUGGUCUUGAAGGAAAUUAGGUGAAACAGAAUGCUAUGUUUGUUUUCAGACCAAGCUCAUUUAUACAGUGUGAGUUUGUGAGAAGAAUAUAAAGUGGUUACAUUGUUUUAUUUUCUCCAAGAAAGCUUGGUUGUGAGUUGUGACUAGUUUCACUGAUUAUUAAGUUUUGGUGCAUGGGAUUCCAGAAUAUCUGAUGUCCUUAUAACAUUUAUUUGUACUAUAUCUUGUACUUUACCUUAAUGUUAAUUGUUAUUUAUUUGUACUA